CCCGUGAUCCGGGUUGCGGACAGUGUCUGGUGGGUAGUUUGACUGGGGCGGUCUCCUCCUAAAGAGUAACGGAGGAGCACGAAGGUUGGCUAAUCCUGGUCGGACAUCAGGAGGUUAGUGCAAUGGCAUAAGCCAGCUUGACUGCGAGCGUGACGGCGCGAGCAGGUGCGAAAGCAGGUCAUAGUGAUCCGGUGGUUCUGAAUGGAAGGGCCAUCGCUCAACGGAUAAAAGGUACUCCGGGGAUAACAGGCUGAUACCGCCCAAGAGUUCAUAUCGACGGCGGUGUUUGGCACCUCGAUGUCGGCUCAUCACAUCCUGGGGCUGAAGUAGGUCCCAAGGGUAUGGCUGUUCGCCAUUUAAAGUGGUACGCGAGCUGGGUUUAGAACGUCGUGAGACAGUUCGGUCCCUAUCUGCCGUGGGCGCUGGAGAACUGAGGGGGGCUGCUCCUAGUACGAGAGGACCGGAGUGGACGCAUCACUGGUGUUCGGGUUGUCAUGCCAAUGGCACUGCCCGGUAGCUAAAUGCGGAAGAGAUAAGUGCUGAAAGCAUCUAAGCACGAAACUUGCCCCGA
rnacentral:rRNA from 2 species